UGCAGGUACAGUAUGCAAGUGGAAAAAGUCCUGCAGACCCUGGGAGAGAAUAAAAGCAUGAGGGAGGCUGUGGUGGAUUAGAGAGGAAAAAUGCACACUGAAGCAGGGGAUGCCCUGCUGACACUACCUGUUGAAUCCACUGCCGCCAUGUUUCUCCCCCUCCUUCUCGGUGUUUUGUCCAUCUCUCAAGAGUCAGGAUCUCCAUCCACUGUAUGAUCCACCCAGGCUGACUCUUCUAAGCAUGAAGCAGACAGAAUAACUGGGGCAGAGCUGGAAAGAGAGAAGAGGGACAGCAUGAUUCCUGCUGCCAUGUGUUCAGAACCAAAAUGGAGAGAGAUUCAGAAAGUCAGAGGAAGCAAACAAGGGUUAUCAUGACCCUACCCCUGGAUGGUAACUGGAAAUACACCAAAAUGGAAAGAUUCAGACCUGUGCAACCCCCUCCCUCCCCCUCCCCCAUUUUGCAUUUUCUUAAGUGUCAAAGGAUA
ensembl:lncRNA